CCUACGGGCGGCUGCAGUGAGGAAUAUUGGUCAAUGGGCGAGAGCCUGAACCAGCCAAGUAGCGUGCAGGAUGACGGCCCUAUGGGUUGUAAACUGCUUUUAUACAGGAAUAAAGUUAGCCACGUGUGGUUAUUUGUAGGUACUGUAUGAAUAAGGACCGGCUAAUUCCGUGCCAGCAGCCGCGGUAAUACGGAAGGUCCAGGCGUUAUCCGGAUUUAUUGGGUUUAAAGGGAGCGUAGGCCGUCUGUUAAGCGUGUUGUGAAAUGUAGAUGCUCAACAUCUGAAUUGCAGCGCGAACUGGCAGACUUGAGUGUGCGCAACGUAGGCGGAAUUCGUGGUGUAGCGGUGAAAUGCUUAGAUAUCACGAAGAACUCCAAUUGCGAAGGCAGCUUACGGGAGCACAACUGACGCUGAAGCUCGAAAGUGCGGGUAUCGAACAGGAUUAGAUACCCCUGUAGUC
rnacentral:rRNA from 1 species